rnacentral:rRNA from 1 species
AGAGUUUGAUUCUGGCUCAGGAUGAACGCUGGCGGCGUGCUUAACACAUGCAAGUCGAACGGGAUCCCGGGGGUUCGCUCCCGGGUGAGAGUGGCGAACGGGUGAGUAAUGCGUGACCGACCUGCCCCAUACACCGGAAUAGCUCCUGGAAACGGGUGGUAAUGCCGGAUGCUCCAGUCCAUCGCAUGGUGGUCUGGGAAAGAUUCCAUCGGUAUGGGAUGGGGUCGCGUCCUAUCAGCUUGAUGGCGGGGUAACGGCCCACCAUGGCUUCGACGGGUAGCCGGCCUGAGAGGGCGACCGGCCACAUUGGGACUGAGAUACGGCCCAGACUCCUACGGGAGGCAGCAGUGGGGAAUAUUGCACAAUGGGCGCAAGCCUGAUGCAGCGACGCCGCGUGCGGGAUGGAGGCCUUCGGGUUGUAAACCGCUUUUGAUCGGGAGCAAGCCCUUCGGGGUGAGUGUACCUUUCGAAUAAGCACCGGCUAACUACGUGCCAGCAGCCGCGGU